rnacentral:rRNA from 1 species
GACGAACGCUGCGGCGCGCCUAACACAUGCAAGUCGAACGAGAGAUGAGGAGCUUGCUCUUUCAAAUCGAGUGGCGAACGGGUGAGUAACGCGUGAGGAACCUGCCUCAAAGAGGGGGCAACAGUUGGAAACGACUGCUAAUACCGCAUAAGCCCACGGCUCGGCAUCGAGCAGAGGGAAAAGGAGUGAUCCGCUUUGAGAUGGCCUCGCGUCCGAAUUAGCUAGUUGGUGAGGUAACGGCCCACCAAGGCGACGAUCGGUAGCCGGACUGAGAGGUUGAACGGCCACAUUGGGACUGAGACACGGCCCAGACUCCUACGGGAGGCAGCAGUGGGGAAUAUUGCACAAUGGGGGAAACCCUGAUGCAGCGACGCCGCGUGGAGGAAGAAGGUCUUCGGAGUUGUAAACUCCUGUUGUUGAGGAAGAUAAUGACGGUACU